rnacentral:rRNA from 1 species
AGAGUUUGAUCCUGGCUCAGAUUGAACGCUGGCGGCAUGCUUUACACAUGCAAGUCGAACGGCAGCGGGGAGCUUGCUCCGCCGGCGAGUGGCGAACGGGUGAGUAAUGCAUCGGAACGUACCCAGUCGUGGGGGAUAACGUAGCGAAAGCUACGCUAAUACCGCAUACGACCUACGGGUGAAAGCGGGGGACCGCAAGGCCUCGUGCGAUUGGAUCGGCCGAUGUCGGAUUAGCUAGUUGGUGGGGUAAAGGCCCACCAAGGCGACGAUCCGUAGCGGGUCUGAGAGGAUGAUCCGCCACACUGGAACUGAGACACGGUCCAGACUCCUACGGGAGGCAGCAGUGGGGAAUAUUGGACAAUGGGCGCAAGCCUGAUCCAGCCAUGCCGCGUGAGUGAAGAAGGCCCUCGGGUUGUAAAGCUCUUUUGGGCGGGAAGGAAUCGCAUCAGUUAAUACCUGGUGUGGAUGACGGUGCCGAAAGAAUAAGC